rnacentral:lncRNA from 1 species
AUGAGGCCCUGGUUGACCUUAGACCAGGAGGGUACAGCACUGAUGUUCCAGAGCUGGUUGGAAUGCUCAGCGAAGGGGCCCGUCUUCAUCUCUGUAAUGAAGAGGAUGCACUCCAGGAACAUGAAGUCCUUAUGGUUUUCAUUUACCACCUUCUCAUCAACAAAGUGCCGAGGCUCCAGAUUUGGAUGGUCUAUCAGCUGGGAA